AUUGAACGCUGGCGGCAGGCUUAACACAUGCAAGUCGAGCGGAGAUGAGGUGCUUGCACCUUAUCUUAGCGGCGGACGGGUGAGUAAUGCUUAGGAAUCUGCCUAUUAGUGGGGGACAACAUUCCGAAAGGAAUGCUAAUACCGCAUACGUCCUACGGGAGAAAGCAGGGGAUCUUCGGACCUUGCGCUAAUAGAUGAGCCUAAGUCGGAUUAGCUAGUUGGUGGGGUAAAGGCCUACCAAGGCGACGAUCUGUAGCGGGUCUGAGAGGACGAGCCGCCACACUGGGACUGAGACCCGGGCCAGACUCCUACGGGAGGCAGCAGUGGGGAAUAUUGGACGAUGGGGUGAACCCUGAUCCAGCCAUGCCGCGUGUGUGAAGAAGGCCUUAUGGUUGUAAAGCACUUUAAGCGAGGAGGAGGCUACUGAGACUAAUACUCUUGGAUAGUGGACGUUACUCGCAGAAUAAGCACCGGCUAACUCUGUGCCAGCCGCCGCAGUAA
rnacentral:rRNA from 1 species